UGCCCCGUGGUGUAGUGGUAGCACGUCAGCCUUUGGAGCUGAAAUCCCUGGUUCGAACCCAGGCGGGGCAGCCA
rnacentral:tRNA from 1 species